rnacentral:rRNA from 1 species
GACGAACCGUGCGAACGUUAUUCGGAAUCACUGGGCUUAAAGCGCGUGUAGGCGGGGCGGCACGUCGGUCGCUGAAAGCCCCCGGCUCAACCGGGGAAUGGCUGGGCAUACUGGCGAUCUUGAGCAGUCUAGGGGCAGAUGGAACAAGUGGUGGAGCGGUGAAAUGCGUAGAUAUCACUUGGAACGCCAACGGUGAAGACAGUCUGCUGGGGACUUGCUGACGCUGAGACACGAAAGCCAGGGGAGCGAACGGG